UAAAGAUUCAUCGCUGAUAGAUAGGCAUGCGUUCCAUUAGGCAGUUGGCGGGGUAACGGCCCACCAAACCGACGAUGGAUAGGGGUUCUGAGAGGAAGGUCCCCCACAUUGGUACUGAGACACGGACCAAACUCCUACGGGAGGCAGCAGUGAGGAAUAUUGGUCAAUGGGCGUAAGCCUGAACCAGCCAAGUCGCGUGAGGGAUGAAGGUUCUAUGGAUCGUAAACCUCUUUUAUAAGGGAAUAAAGUGCGGGACGUGUCCCGUUUUGUAUGUACCUUAUGAAUAAGGAUCGGCUAACUCCGUGCCAGCAGCCGCGGUAAUACGGAGGAUCCGAGCGUUAUCCGGAUUUAUUGGGUUUAAAGGGUGCGUAGGCGGCCUUUUAAGUCAGCGGUGAAAGUCUGUGGCUCAACCAUAGAAUUGCCGUUGAAACUGGGAGGCUUGAGUAUGUUUGAGGCAGGCGGAAUGCGUGGUGUAGCGGUGAAAUGCUUAGAUAUCACGCAGAACCCCGAUUGCGAAGGCAGCCUGCCAAGCCAUGACUGACGCUGAUGCACGAAAGCGUGGGGAUCAAACAGGAUUAGA
rnacentral:rRNA from 1 species